GACGAACGCUGGCGGCGUGCUUAACACAUGCAAGUCGAACGGAAAGGCCCUGCUUUUGUGGGGUGCUCGAGUGGCGAACGGGUGAGUAACACGUGAGUAACCUGCCCUUGACUGUGGGAUAACUUCAGGAAACUGGGGCGAAUACCGGAGAGGAUCUCCUGCUGCAUGGUGGGGGUUGGAAAGUUUCGGCGGUUGGGGAUGGACUCGCGGCUUAUCAGCUUGUUGGUGGGGUAGUGGCUUACCAAGGCUUUGACGGGUAGCCGGCCUGAGAGGGUGACCGGCCACAUUGGGACUGAGAUACGGCCCAGACUCCUACGGGAGGCAGCAGUGGGGAAUAUUGCACAAUGGGCGGAAGCCUGAUGCAGCAACGCCGCGUGCGGGAUGACGGCCUUCGGGUUGUAAACCGCUUUCGCCUGUGACGAAGAGUGAGUGACGGUAAUGGGUAAAGAAGCACCGGCUAACUACGUG
rnacentral:rRNA from 1 species